rnacentral:rRNA from 1 species
GACGAACGCUGGCGGCGUGCUUAACACAUGCAAGUCGAGCGGUAGGGCCCUUUCGGGGGUACACGAGCGGCGAACGGGUGAGUAACACGUGGGUGACCUGCCCUCAGCUCUGGGAUAAGCCUGGGAAACCGGGUCUAAUACUGGAUAUGACUCCAUGACGCAUGUUGUGGGGUGGAAAGCCUUGUGCGGCUGAGGAUGGGCCCGCGGCCUAUCAGCUUGUUGGUGGGGGAUGGCCUACCAAGGCGACGACGGGUAGCCGGCCUGAGAGGGCGACCGGCCACACUGGGACUGAGACACGGCCCAGACUCCUACGGGAGGCAGCAGUGGGGAAUCUUGCGCAAUGGGCGAAAGCCUGACGCAGCGACGCCGCGUGAGGGAUGACGGCCU